AUUGAACGCUGACGGAAUGCUUUACACAUUCAUGUCGAACGGCAGCACGGACUUCGGCCUGCUGGCGAGUGGCGAACGGUCGUGUAAUGUAUGGGAACGUUCCCAGCAGUGGGGGAUAACGUCGUGACAAUUAUGCUAUUACCGUCUACGAUCUAUGGCUGAAAGCGGGGGAACCCAAGACCUUGAGCGUUUGGAGCAGCCAAGAUGAGUUUAGGUAGUUGGUUGGGAAAAUGCCCACCAAGCCAACGAACUGUAGCAGGUCUGAGAGGGCGACCAGCCACACUGGAACUGAGACACGGUCCAUACUCCUACGGGAGGCAGCAGUGGGGAAUUUUUGACAAUGGGCGAAAGCCUGAUCCAGCCAUUCCGCGUGCAGGAUGAAGGACCUCGGGUUGUAAACUGCUUUUGUACAGAACGAAAAGGUUUCUACUAAUACUAGGAGCUCAUGACGGUACUGUAAGAAUAAGCACCGGCUAACUACGUGCCAGCCGCCGCCGUAA
rnacentral:rRNA from 1 species